CAGGGAUUGCCCCAGUAACGGCGAGUGAAGCGGCAACAGCUCAAAUUUGAAAUCUGGCCCCUAGGGUCCGAGUUGUAAUUUGUAGAGGAUGCUUUUGGUGAGGUGCCGCCCGAGUUCCCUGGAACGGGACGCCACAGAGGGUGAGAGCCCCGUCUGGCUGGCCGCCGAGCCUCUGUAAAGCUCCUUCGACGAGUCGAGUAGUUUGGGAAUGCUGCUCAAAAUGGGAGGUAUAUGUCUUCUAAAGCUAAAUAUUGGCCAGAGACCGAUAGCGCACAAGUAGAGUGAUCGAAAGAUGAAAAGCACCUUGAAAAGAGGGUUAAAUAGUACGUGAAAUUGUUGAAAGGGAAGCGCUUGUGACCAGACUUGGGCGCGGCGGAUCAUCCGGGGUUCUCUCCGGUGCACUUCGCCGCGUCUGGGCCAGCAUCAGUUCGUCGCGGGGGAAAAAGGCUUCGGGAACGUGGCUCCUCCGGGAGUGUUAUAGCCCGUUGCAUAAUACCCUGCGGUGGACUGAGGACCGCGCAUCUGCAAGGAUGCUGGCGUAAUGGUCACCAGCGACCCGUCUUGAAACACGGACCAAGGAGUCGUCUUCGUAUGCGAGUGUUCGGGUGUCAAACCCCUACGCGUAAUGAAAGUGAACGCAGGUGAGAGCUUCGGCGCAUCAUCGACCGAUCCUGAUGUUCUCGGAUGGAUUUGAGUAAGAGCAUACGGGGCCGGACCCGAAAGAAGGUGAACUAUGCCUGUAUAGGGUGAAGCCAGAGGAAACUCUGGUGGAGGCUCGCAGCGGUUCUGACGUGCAAAUCGAUCGUCAAAUAUGGGCAUGGGGGCGAAAGACUAAUCGAACCUUCUAGUAGCUGG
rnacentral:rRNA from 1 species